rnacentral:rRNA from 1 species
AGAGUUUGAUCCUGGCUCAGGACGAACGCUGGCGGCGUGCCUAAUACAUGCAAGUAGAACGCUGAAGAGAGGAGCUUGCUCUUCUUGGAUGAGUUGCGAACGGGUGAGUAACGCGUAGGUAACCUGCCUUGUAGCGGGGGAUAACUAUUGGAAACGAUAGCUAAUACCGCAUAACAAUGGAUGACACAUGUCAUUUAUUUGAAAGGGGCAAUUGCUCCACUACAAGAUGGACCUGCGUUGUAUUAGCUAGUAGGUGAGGUAAUGGCUCACCUAGGCGACGAUACAUAGCCGACCUGAGAGGGUGAUCGGCCACACUGGGACUGAGACACGGCCCAGACUCCUACGGGAGGCAGCAGUAGGGAAUCUUCGGCAAUGGGGGCAACCCUGACCGAGCAACGCCGCGUGAGUGAAGAAGGUUUUCGGAUCGUAAAGCUCUGUUGUAAGUCAAGAACGGGUGUGAGAGUGGAUAGUUCACACUGUGACGGUAGCUUACCAGAAAGGGACGGCUAACUACGUGCCAGCAGCCGCGGUAAUACGUAGGUCCCGAGCGUUGUCCGGAUUUAUUGGGCGUAAAGCGAGCGCAGGCGGUUUGAUAAGUCUGAAGUUAAAGGCUGUGGCUCAACCAUAGUUCGCUUUGGAAACUGUCAAACUUGAGUGCAGAAGGGGAGAGUGGAAUUCCAUGUGUAGCGGUGAAAUGCGUAGAUAUAUGGAGGAACACCGGUGGCGAAAGCGGCUCUCUGGUCUGUAACUGACGCUGAGGCUCGAAAGCGUGGGGAGCGAACAGGAUUAGAUACCCUGGUAGUCCACGCCGUAAACGAUGAGUGCUAGGUGUUGGAUCCUUUCCGGGAUUCAGUGCCGCAGCUAACGCAUUAAGCACUCCGCCUGGGGAGUACGACCGCAAGGUUGAAACUCAAAGGAAUUGACGGGGGCCCGCACAAGCGGUGGAGCAUGUGGUUUAAUUCGAAGCAACGCGAAGAACCUUACCAGGUCUUGACAUCCCGAUGCUAUUUCUAGAGAUAGAAAGUUACUUCGGUACAUCGGUGACAGGUGGUGCAUGGUUGUCGUCAGCUCGUGUCGUGAGAUGUUGGGUUAAGUCCCGCAACGAGCGCAACCCCUAUUGUUAGUUGUCAUCAUUCAGUUGGGCACUCUAGCGAGACUGCCGGUAAUAAACCGGAGGAAGGUGGGGAUGACGUCAAAUCAUCAUGCCCCUUAUGACCUGGGCUACACACGUGCUACAAUGGUUGGUACAACGAGUUGCGAGUCGGUGACGGCGAGCUAAUCUCUUAAAGCCAAUCUCAGUUCGGAUUGUAGGCUGCAACUCGCCUACAUGAAGUCGGAAUCGCUAGUAAUCGCGGAUCAGCACGCCGCGGUGAAUACGUUCCCGGGCCUUGUACACACCGCCCGUCACACCACGAGAGUUUGUAACACCCGAAGUCGGUGAGGUAACCUUUUGGAGCAAGCCGCCUAAGGUGGGACAGAUGAUUGGGGUGAAGUCGUAACAAGGUA